rnacentral:rRNA from 1 species
GACGAACGCUGGCGGCGUGCUUAACACAUGCAAGUCGAACGGAAAGGCCCUGCUUUUGUGGGGUGCUCGAGUGGCGAACGGGUGAGUAACACGUGAGUAACCUGCCCUUGACUUUGGGAUAACUUCAGGAAACUGGGGCUAAUACCGGAUAGGAGCUCCUGCUGCAUGGUGGGGGUUGGAAAGUUUCGGCGGUUGGGGAUGGACUCGCAGCUUAUCAGCUUGUUGGUGGGGUAGUUGCUUACUAAGGCUUUGACGGGUAGCCGGCCUGAGAGGGUGACCGGCCACAUUGGGACUGAGAUACGGCCCAGACUCCUACGGGAGGCAGCAGUGGGGAAUAUUGCACAAUGGGCGGAAGCCUGAUGCAGCAACGCCGCGUGCGGGAUGACGGCCUUCGGGUUGUAAACCGCUUUCGCCUGUGACGAAGCGUGAGUGACGGUAAUGGGUAAAGAAGCACCGGCUAACUACGUG